GUUUUGAGUGGUGCUGACACUAGUACGAGAGGACCGUGUUGGACAGACCUCCGGUUUACCAGUUGUGCCGCCAGGUGCACCGCUGGGUAUCUGAGUCUGGAUUGGAUAAGCGCUGAAAGCAUCUAAGUGCGAAGCCAGCCGCAAGAUGAGAACUCCUCAUAAGGGUCGUCAUAGACGAUGACGUUGAUAGGGUGUAGGUGUAAAGACGGUGACGUCAAAGCCGAGCACUACUAAUUGCCCGAAACUUUCUUC
rnacentral:rRNA from 1 species